rnacentral:rRNA from 1 species
UCGUCAGCUCGUGUCGUGAGAUGUUGGGUUAAGUCCCGCAACGAGCGCAACCCUUGAUCUUAGUUGCCAUCAUUAAGUUGGGCACUCUAAGGUGACUGCCGGUGACAAACCGGAGGAAGGUGGGGAUGACGUCAAAUCAUCAUGCCCCUUAUGACCUGGGCUACACACGUGCUACAAUGGACGGUACAAAGAGCUGCAAGACCGCGAGGUGGAGCUAAUCUCAUAAAACCGUUCUCAGUUCGGAUUGUAGGCUGCAACUCGCCUACAUGAAGCUGGAAUCGCUAGUAAUCGCGGAUCAGCAUGCCGCGGUGAAUACGUUCCCGGGCCUUGU